GUGAUUGGUCGACACACUCGUGUCCCCCCACUCAUAUCCUUUUCGACUCUUUCGAUCGCGGAAUAGGAAGUUUUGAUUGUAUUGCGUAAAUUGAAAUGAAUUACCCGAAAAGAAAAAUAAAUAUAACGAAUGAUUCUCUCUGAAAGCAUAUACUUUGCCACUGUGUAAUAAAGAAAGAGAGACGCGUGUUAACUAAAACAAUAAAAAGAGAACAGAAGAUUGUAAAGAACAGAGGGUGUGAAAAUAAGAAAAAACCAGAAACAAGAAAAUAAAAAUAAUUUGUCCAGUUAAUGAGAUCAUCAUAGGAAAAUCUACUUCCUUCGGACCCAUGACAUUUCGAUUCUUUAUAUGGUGUAAUACGUGGUAUUAAUUGAUCCGUGUAGAAGAUAAUAUAACCCCAUCCACCAAGCCUCGCCUCGGAAAUUAGCUGGGUGUUCGGAUGUGACGAUUUCGGGAAGAGUCUCGCCUUCGAAGGUCAUCCUUUCAAUAAUUUUUGAACGAGUAAUGUGCAAAGAUAUAGAAGACGAAACGGAGGCGAAAGCAGUUCCAAUAUUCUUGAAUUAUUGCGAAAGAGCAGAAUCGACUGCUAUCUGAAUUGUAAUUACUUCCAGAGAAGAUACGAGAAUUUCAACCACGCUCAACGUGAUAAUUAAACAUUCGACGUCCUAAGUGAAACGCAUUUACAUUGCACUUCCUGUUCUUCUUUACAUCCGACGAUACAUCCAACAUGGAUAAUAUAAAUGUCCGAUCAUCAACCAGAUUAAGAAACGAAAACGUUUUCCUCUUUAAUUUUAUAUUUAAAUGAAUUUUAUGAAGUCGACAAAUGUAUUUCUAUUGAUAAGUGAAUUCAUUAAAAAACUUCCAUAUGGUAUGAAACCCAAGUUGAAGAGAAAGGCAUCUAAUUAUCUGGAAAAAAACAUGUUGCCAUUGCUAUAGCAUUACUAUAGCAACCAUCGACUUCAAUAUUGAAUUUUAAUAGACAAGCGCAUUGGAUCAUGAAAACAGAAGAGUGGUUCAAGAAACAGUUGAAAAUUCUAACCAAAAAAGGAACAUCGUCAGCUAUUGCCUUUUAUACAUUAUGUGAUUAAAAAUACCUAGGAAAAGGAAAAAGAAGAAAAAACAUUUGUGUUUGACGAUACAAGACCAAUGGCGCUAUUUUAUAAAGCUUGGAGCGGUGGUACGAAGAAAUGGGAAGGAUUUACGUUUUCCAAAGGAUCUAAAGACCAAGCAGAUAAUUGGAAAUUAGCUCUAUAGUUCAAUUGUCUAUUAAGAUUCAUCGUUUCAUAAGACGGUUACAUAUUCUGCAGAGCAUUAGACUAUUUUCUAAGCAUCAAAUUGAUUUGGAAUAUAAUAUAUGAAAUAUUUUAUACCUGUAAGUAUAAUGGGAGCAUUGUUUUGCAUUCUCCGAUAGGGAGUAAAUUUCUAGGAAAAUGUACCCGUUCAUGCAGAAGAAUCAAAUCAAUCGUGGAUGGUUGAAUCUGCAAAAGAUUUAACCAGGGAAUUAAAGGAUUCAGCCAAAUGGAUAAUUGAAUUAUAACGCUAAUCGUAUUAUCGAAUUCUCUGCCUGGUUUUAUGAGAGGAAAACUAAUGAAAAUAAACCUUUUUGUUUUUAAAACAUGAUAGGAGAUGUACAGACACACUACUCAUACCCACCCACUCAUUCCCACCCACUUGCACCCGCGCACGUAAGCGCGCACGUGCACGGAGAGAGAUAAUAAUAAAUCGUUUAAUAUGAUGGUGCUGGAUGAGAAGGUAGUGCGUACGUGCAGAUCGUUAAAUUCCGAUCAAUACCCGUUAAUAGAAGAAUUUGGAAACAUGGAGGAUCAUAUAUCUUUGCAAAAAAAUUAAAAUUUUGUCCUUUAUAAUUUCCUACGAUGUCUAUGAUAAAUGUUGAAUCAAUUCUCUUUCCACAUUAUCAUCCCUCGCAUUAUGUAUGAGAUCUCUCCGUUUUUUUGUUGGAUGUCAUCACUAUCACUCUUAUCGUUUUCUUCCCGUAUAAUAUUUAUUUUUUCUAACAUAUCUAUAUAAAUGUCUAUCUGGAAUUCCUCUUUGGUAUUACUUAUGACACGAAACUCACUUGUGUUUGGAUAUUUUGUCGUUCUUUUAAUGAAAAUGAAAUAAGUAAUUGAAAGCGUUGGUAGUCUCAAAUUGUAUAUUACGAAAUCACGAAACGAUAUAUACCAAAAGAAUAUUACUUUUCUGAUUUUCUGGCUUAUUAAUUUAGGGAACUAUCUAUUUCACUUGAAGUUUCAAUACGAAGCGAGUUCAACUUCCAAAAUCUCCUCAGUUUUAUGAUUGCUUGUUUACUCCAUCAAAUAUCACUACCUCGUACGGGGUGUACUCACGUACCAUUAGCAGAAAAUUCGUUAUCACUCUCUUUAAGUGGUUUAGUGAAGCCCCCAGACCAUUGUGAAUGUACUUCUUUUUCGUAAAGCCGACUAAUAUACUUUUCAUAUAACUUGGUAAUUUGACCAUUUCUUGAUUCACUAACUGAGUGGUUCUCUCGGAGGGGAAAUACGGGAAAAAGAGGAAGGUAAUAUUAGGAACGCAUAAAUGUGACGAAAGAUUUUCUCCGAGUACAUGUUUUUAUUAUUGUGCAAUAACGAAAAUGAAUUCUCCGAUAACUUGGUCAAUAUGUAUUUUUUUACAAGGAAGGAAAGUGAUAUAUGGAGAAAAUGUUUUCCCGGAAUAUGGAAGUAAAUAUAAUUUCCGAUGAAAACAUUUUUUUACAAGAGGAAAAUUUUUUUGGAAGUAAAAAAUUUUUGUACUUUCUACUUCGACAUUCCUUGAAAACAUUGUAUCCAAUAUUACUUUUCCUUCUUGUAAACAAAUACCUAUUGCUUAAGUUAACAAAGACUUCCUUUUCUUUAUUACGUAAUAGUAAUAAAAUAUAUGGCUUCAGAUACAAUCUUUUCUCCUAUUUAUUUUCUUUUUGUAAUAUUACCUUCUUUUUUUUUACGUAUUUCUUGAACGUGAGGAUCUCAGAGUUAUUUAAUGAUUAUGGAGAAUCCACUGUUUCCACCGCAACUUUUUGAGAAAUACAUUUCUCUGAAGUUUUCUAUUGAAGUGGCACAAAAAAACAAAUCAAAUAAUCGUCCAAUUACUAAGUUUUAUUUAAAGAAUAUCAGUCGAUUUCACGAAAGAGAACAUGGGAAGUGCUUUCACAACUGAGCCCUUGUAUAUUACAAACUCUGAGCCCUUCUCUGAUCCGCUUAAGGAGACUCGUAAGUGAAACUUGUAUAUAUAGUGAAAUUUGAUGAAGUAAACAACCGAUCCUAAAACUGGAGAAACAGAUUUUCAGAGCUGAAAUCAGUUCGUAUUGAAGCUUCGAGUAGUAUGAUAGAUCCCUAGAAUAAUUACUGAGAAAAUCAGGAAAGUAUUAUAUUAUUGUUAUGUAUCAUUCCGUUAUUUCGUAAAAUGCAAUUAUCUCCAUUUCGUUUAUUUCUCCAUUUUUUUUCUUUUCUUUUUUUUUAAUUAGGAGAACAGCAAAGUGUCCAAAUACGUACAAGUCUCAUGAUAUAAAAUAUAAGUAGUGAGGAAGAAUUCCAGGAAGGCAUUUAUACAGUCACGUUAGACAAAAUAAAUAUUAAUCCGGAAGAAAACGAUAGAAGUGAUAGUUUUAUCAUCUAGCAAGAAAACGAAGAGAUCUCAGUGGAGAAAGAGAUGAAAAUGUUGUAAUUGAAUUGCUUCAAAACUAAUCAUAGAUUUUGUAGAAAAUAAUAAGGGAUAAAAUUUUUGUCUUUUUGUAAAAAAAUAUGUUCUUCAAUAUCUACGAAUUAACAUAAAUCAAGCAACCUUAUAAUACAUUAUGUGUUUUUAAAAUAUAUAUUCUGAUAUACCAUGUCUGCGCGAUAAAGUUCCAUCGAUUUGUUCAGAGCUGACGUCCGAAAGGCUCAGGGCAGAUAUGGUUAUUACGUUUUACGCACAUUAAUUGCUUACACGGACGGAAAGGUCAAAAAUGAAAUUAAUUAAGGGAAAAUGAACUUCUGUUUUAUUAAUGUACCAUAUUUUUUAAUUCGACGUAUUACUUUUGCCUCUUCUUUUCUUUUUUUUCUUCUUUUCUUUACAGUUUAUAAUCUGAAAUUAACUACAGAAUGUUGACGAUUAACAAUUAAUUUUUUUCAUAUUUAUGUGCUUAAGAAUGACUAUCAGUAAGAAUUAAUUUCUCCCUUUUUUAUCUCUUGAAAUUAUCAUUUCUUUUCUUGUAUUACGCAAUGAUAAGGAAUAUUGAUUCAGAAAAAAUCUUUCGCCAUAUGUUUUUUUUUUUUUUUUUUUUUUUCGUUAUAUCAUCUUUUUCCCUUUUACGUAUUUCAUUUGAACGUCGGUUUAUACAAGUCACUAAAAAUUUCCUGUUUCGCGGCCAAAUGGGCUGAAAAGGAUAUCGGUUGGAAGGAAAUGGAUUUCUCGACCAAUCUCUUUUAAUUCGGCCAAAUAUUAUUCGUUCGAGUAGCGGUAUGACUAGACGGAAUAUACCUUUUUCAAAGGAUUCAUAGAUGGGGAGCAUUAGCUAGAGGGUAUAAUCGAUUCGAGUCAAAUAGGCCGUUGAAAGGUUGUCCGACUUUGCAGGUGGAACAUGAAUCAAAGUGGAAUUCAGAUGGAACUGAGGAAAGUUUAUCUUCUAACAUAAUUAAAUCUACGAAAACGAUAUAAAGAUCCAUCGCUUUUCGAGAUAAUAAUGUUAGCCCUAGAAUACUUUUAAAUUAUACGAAAAAUGUUAAUUCCAUGUUUACGUCAUAGUGUCAUUGUUAUUUAUCAAUUUAACUCGAGUAGUUGUUUUAUCUAAUUAUAAAUAGAAGAAAUUUUGAGUUCAAUGUUUCAAAUUAUACACCAUAAUAUUCACGAUAUGUAAUGAAAAAAAAUUUAUCAUAUUUAAUGUACGUUUUUUAGUAAUAUCGAAAUUUGAAUGAAUUAAUUUGCUGUGUAAAGCAAAUUCUCUUGUUUAUAAGUUUUGAUUGGGUUUUACUGAAAAUGCAUGUACGUCUUACGUUCUCCAUACGUAUCGUCAGGUACUUAUCGAUUAAACGAUUUGUUAUUACCUCUUUCCAUGCACCUGUGCUCUUGUGUUCGCUCAUGCGAGCUAGUUCAUGUGGGUGGGAUUACGUGCGCGGUUCUGUGGGCGUGCAUGCGUAUAUCACCUCCCUUAUUUUGACAAGAAGAAAGGUAUUUUUUCAUUUAUUUUCCUCCCAGUAAACCAAGCAGAGAAUUCGAUAAUAAUAUUAGUAGUGCAUUUUAAUUACAUAUUUAGAUAUAUUAUUUAAUUUGCAAAUCGAAGUAUCACGACUAAUUUAGUACUUUCAUAGGAACGAAUACAUUUUCCUACAAAUUUAUUCCAGACUGGACAAUUUCAAAGAAAGAUCCAUCAUACUUCGAGUAGUCAAACAUUUCGCAUAUUACGCUCCAAACUAUUUAGUUUCUCGGAAAAUACUAUCUAUCUCGAUCUUUUUAUUUCUCAUUACGUAUAACCGAGUAUAGAAACGAGUUCGUUAUAUUUCUAGUAAUAUAAUAUGACAAAUUUAUUUAGCAUUUUUCUAAUAUUUACUCGAAUGAUCAUAAGUGUACAUAUAAUAAACAUUUACAUAAUGUGGCCAUUCCCCAAACGUAGUAUAGAUCUAUUAUAUUGUUUUCUUACUAUCGUCGUUCGAUCAAAUGGUCGACAUCGCUCAAAGUAAAAAUAAUAAAUAUUGUAGGAAGAAAGCUCUUCUUUCAGAUACGCUUUUCUUUUAAAUACAAUUUUGGAAGUCUGCUUUUCUUGAUAAUGUCGACGUUCUCUUCACGAAAAUUAUAUAAAUAUGAAUAAAUAUGUACCAAACACAAGAUCCUCCUUGAAAAGUAGAUAAACUAAAUUCGAUGUUUACAAAAUAAACUAAUCAAGAGGAAGAGAUGAGGUAUAGAGAAAGACCGAUAAGCGGAAUCGAAUGGAAAAAAGAAGUAUAUAGCCAAAAAGAAAUUUCCCCUUUGAGAUCGUAUCUAUCCAUUAUUAUGGGUAACAUUGUGAGGAGAUUAUCGCGGAUGACACAAUAUCUCGUUAAUAUAUGCAAAACAGUGAGGACCAGAAUAAAUGGUGACAAAAUUUAAUUUGAUAAUUGAAUUUAUUGAAUUCUUUAAAUAGGAGUACAAUAUUGAUCCUGAGUCUUGUCAACUCCCAUACAGGUUCUUGGAGACACAAAAAGAUGGAACUAUAUAUAAGCACCUCCGCAGACACGAUAAUGGACUAUACCGUCUAUAUCAUUUCAAACAACACUCUCGAUAAGAUAUUUUAAUUUAAUUUUUUAAUUUUUUUUAUCUUCAUUUACCAGUGUCAAUUGAUUAUUCAGCGGGAUCAUUAUUGCUAUUAUACAGCCAGUCCUGUAAGAGGUAAUUAUUAAUAGAGGAGGAUAAAACAACUUUCACUUAGAACUUUGUAAGUUCAUUACAUAUUGUUUAAAGUCAGGUUGUAGAUAAAAUUAUAUAAAAUUUUUCCUUAUAUUUGCUACGUCCAGUAAUGAAAUUUUCACUAUUCUUUUCAGACGACAGACAGAUUCUAUGCAUACAUAUACAUACACACACAUAUAUAUAUGUGUAUAUGUAUGUAUACACACACAUUCACAAAUUCGUUUGAACAUUUCGUAGAUCGUAACGCGCGAGGAACAUGAAAUAAUUUUAAUCUAAAAUUUUAACAAUUUCUAAUUUUAAUCUCAGAGUGGUUGCAUCUGAGUUGCAUCGCUACGUGUAAUGUCAAUAAAAACGAACCUUUGAAUGAAUUUGCAGGUUGCCUUCACUUUCCACAGAUGAAAAUUUCAAACUUUUUGAAAUGGCGGUCGUUCGCUAUCUGUAAAGUAAAAAUGAUUGAUUUGGACAGUUGCCAGAUCGGUCAUCCUUUCUACUCCGACGAGGAAACAUCGGACAUCUGUCGAUGCCGCCUGCAAAAAAUGAAGAAAAUUUCGUUCACAUACGUGUAUAUAUGAAAAAUAUUAUUUAAGUUUCUCCAAAACAAUAAGAAUAUAACACGAUCAAAUCAGAAAUUUAAAGCAGAAUUUUUACAAAAUUUAUUAUUAUAAUUAUUGCUCGCCGCUAACGGAGGAAAUGAGGAAUUACUUACAGCAAAUUGCCAGGAAUAAAUGCACGUGGUAGCCAUUGAUGUUCCUCCUUAAUGGUUCCUUGAAUUAUGCGGUCCUCUCUUCUUGAGGUGUAUAUAAGGAAUAUUAACUUCUCGCGAAGUGUGUGGUAACACCGCAUGGAAAACUAUAUCCUGGAAAUAGAAGGAAUUAUCAGUUUAAUACUUUAUAUCAUUGCACUCUGUUUUCGCAUAAUAAAUAAAAGAGAAAAUACAUGAGCUGAUUUUAAACAGAAUGUAAUGAUACUACUAGUGAAAACAGUUCUAUCUCCCUCCGUUAAAAAUUAUGACCUGCAGAUUAGUUCUUAAUAAUGCAUUACGAUUCAUUUAUCGAAAGACAAUUCUGUAACAAACCGUUGAUUAAAAAAGGAGACUGUCAAAUGUAACCAUUCCAAGGGAUAUUCGUGUUAUCUAAAUAUUUCACUAAAUUUUCGGACAGAUAACCCCAAUUAUACUAUUUUCUCUGUUUAAUAUUAUACAAUAAUAUAUCCGAGACAAAUUGCACGAUGUAAUAUAUAGUGUAAAAUCAUAAUAAAAAACUAUACAACUUUCUAUCAUAUAUUAUAAAAUAUACUAUGUAUAAGACAGUAGAAUUGAACAAAAAAUUGUAGAAAAUACAGUAGAAUGCGUUAAUAUUAAAUUAUAAGUAUAUAAAAUUCAAAUAAGAUUUAACUAACCGAGAGCGUGUUGCUUAAAAUGUUACAGAUGGUUGCCAUUAUCGCGACUGGUGAGGCGCUUUUAUAUUACUCCCGACCGUCCAUCUCCAAGGGCCUCCAUGAACGUGCCUUUGGGACGACUCGAAACAGAAUGAUCGUUUCAUUCGAUUCCCGCUGAUGGAUCAUAUCCCCCACCACCCCGCAGUAACUCGAGCAUGCGCUGUUUGGUCCCACUCCCUCUUUUACAUAUAUCCACGAGGGUAGCAUCUUCGUUUACCUCUUCACAAUGUUAACAAUAACUUUGGAUUGAUAUUACCGUAAAAGGGAAAUUUCUUUGGCCUUUAUCUUACUUUUCUCCUUAUGAUCCCUUUUUCUCCUGUGAUUCCACUCUUCCUCAUUCUCUAUAUUCGUAUCUUUCCGAUCGUUCCACUUUGAAAAAAUCGAAUUGUGUUUAUCUUCUUUCCGAAAGGAAAAUUUUUGUUGGUAUUUAUACAUUCAUAUUUAUAUAUUUUUUGCGAAAAGCAUUCAAAAUAUUGUUAUUAAAAGAAAUGGUAAUCAAUCUCAUAGAAAAUCUCCAUACAAUAUUUAUAACUUACGACUUGUGCGAUGUGGAUCUGUUGAUCGAAUAACUAUGGCUAGAAAGAAAUAUAAUAGAUAUCUAUUGUGUUAUAAUAAAUAUUAUGAUAGUGUUACAUUCAAUGUUUGCUUGUUCACAAAAGAGUCGUAGAGACAAUACAUUCGGAAACUACAAAUGUUAUCUUACUAGAAAUAUAAUAAAAUUGUCGCCAUGCUCGGUUAUGCGUAAUAGAAAUAAACAAUUCUCAAAUAAAGAUUGAGUAAUAAAAUAUCUUCCAAGCAAUUGAUUGGUUUGGAACAUAAUAUACAAAAUAUUAGAUAACUGGAGGGAUUAUUGGAUCAUUGUUUUCACUUCUUCAACAGGGAGCUAAUAUCAAGGAAAAUGUACUCGUUCGAACGGAAUAAUUAAAUCAGUUUCGCGCCCAUAGCUAUGAAAAGAUGUAGCCGAGUGAUUAAAUGAUGUAUUUAAAUAGAUAA